CUACGGGGUGCUGCAGUGGGGAAUAUUGGACAAUGGGGGAAACCCUGAUCCAGCAAUGCCGCGUGUGUGAAGAAGGCCUGCGGGUUGUAAAGCACUUUCGGUUGGGAGGACUGCUUCUAGCACUAAUAUUGUUGGAAGUUGACGUUACCUUCAGAAGAAGCACCGGCUAACUCCGUGCCAGCAGCCGCGGUAAUACGGAGGGUGCAAGCGUUAAUCGGAAUUACUGGGCGUAAAGCGCGCGUAGGCGGCUAGAUCAGUCGGGUGUGAAAGCCCUGGGCUUAACCUGGGAACUGCAUCCGAUACUGUCUAGCUUGAGUACAGGAGAGGAGAGUGGAAUUCCACAUGUAGCGGUGAAAUGCGUAGAUAUGUGGAGGAACACCAAUGGCGAAGGCAGCUCUCUGGCCUGAUACUGACGCUGAGGCGCGAAAGCGUGGGGAGCAAACAGGAUUAGAUACCCGUGUAGUC
rnacentral:rRNA from 1 species